CGCUGCAGUUAGCGUUACGGUCCGUUCUGCAAUCCAAACAUCCGAUGGAGCCCCUAUCCUGCACGCCCGCAGAACCGUGCCACCGCCCCUCCCGAGACUUCCGCCACGCCUCCCCACCGUGCGAGAUUGCCGCCCCCGGCCGCGAGUGUGCUGUGUGCCCGUCGAGACAACUGUUGUCUCCUUCCCCAACCUGCAGAAUCGUGCCCACCACCGCCACCUCUCGCGCGAGGCCCGGGUCUGCGGCCACCGGCACAGCCAGCAUCCUUCCCUGCCUGCUCGCUAUGCAUCAUGUCCGCGUUCAGCGAGACAACCGUCGUCCUCCCUUGCUGAGUUAAGUCUCCUUGUGUGCAGAUGAAGGCAAUGGAGUAUGGAUCUGUGCCAGUAUAGAUAAGCUUUUCCAGCUAUGAAUCAAGGUAAAAACGAAAAAGCACUAAUUUGGGCAAUCCAUCAGUUUGAUAUGAUUUAGUUGAAAUGUUUUUUGUAUCCAGAGUGAGUAGAAACCGCAUGACUAUGAGAAGCUUGAGUAUGGGCCAAAGUAGGAUUUACAUCAGUUAAUUGACGGUUAUAUAUGUUACGUACAAGUUAUAAGCUUUUCCAUUUAUAUGUACUUGUAACCAGGGGGGUCAGAGGUGUAUGGUUGUCGCAAUACAACAAUGUCUCUAUACAUCAUCUCAACCUAUGGAGAUUUGUCUCUUUCUCAAGCACUUGAUGACUUUGUAAGUUUGCAAUCUCAAGGGAGAAUAGCUAUCCUGUCACGGGCUGUUCAUUGUGCACAAUCAACAUCUCUUAAUAGAUCAAAUAAUGUUCUGAACAACAGCAUAGGUCAAAGUUGCAAUCGGAAGGCUCAGGAAGCUGAUUGAGUGAAGCUAUCUUAUUUUCUGACGUUACUUGCUUCUUGAAUUUAACAUAAUUUACUUCCCAAUGUGCAGAACAAUGACCCUUUGCAUUGGGAUCGACAGAUCAAGGGUGGGAUGGUUAGGGGUUCGUUGCGGCCAUAGCCUUCAUUGCAAGGCUUAUUCCUCCAUAAGGAAGCUGUGAACUGGGCAUCUGCUAGAGAACCACAUGACCUACAUGAGGCACCAACUCCUGAAAUUAAGGGUACCAUUUUUUGGCAUAUAAUUAGACUCAUUUAAUUUCUUAGAUGAACAUUUAAUCAAGCAAAAUGUUUUUUCAACCUAUCAGAUAGUUGGGUGCAUUAUUCAAUGCUAGAUGCCUGAUAACAUGUUUGUGGUGUGUAGGUACAAGUAUCUUAUUUUUAAAGGAGGGAGAGCAAGGAUCUGUAGCCUUGAGACCCCAUACAGAUAGAUGCACAAUAUGUGUGAACAAAAAAAAACAAACAAGAAUUAUUUCCUAUAAAAAUAUAUGUACAAAUCUGUGUUGGAUGAUUCUAAUCUUUGAACACAGGGCUUUCAUUGCUUCGGAUUUGGAUUUCUGUGGUUUAUAUGUGCAUCAAUUGUCAUGUUGCCUGUGUCAGCUUAUUCACCUCGUGCUUGCACAUGUAAAUAAUUAACUUAUUAUUGGGUUCAUGCUCUGCAUAAAUAACGUCAAGUCGAUUAAAAUCUUGAAGUAAUUUAUUCCAAAGGUCAGGUGUCUAUUUGACUUGAUGGUAUGUAUCUAAACAAACUACAGUUAUUUAGAAGUAGUUAGCAAAAAAUCGCAUUCAUGUUCAUGGUACUAAAACUUUGAAAGCUGGAAAGCAACGGGUUGUAUCUUCAUUAAGCUAUUCUCAAUGGUAGUUUCAUACACAUUUAAUAGUGUACCAUAUUAGUUUUUUUGGUGACAUGACAUUAUUUAAGAGGAUUGAGUUUCAUGGAAUGAAAUUAGUUUUAUUUGGAUGAAACCAUGUCAACUCGUUUAUAAGGUCUUGAAAACCGUGUGAAACCUUCAUUGAGAGUGAUUUGUUUCAUGUUCAUAUAAUUUACUAACUUUUAUUGGUCAUUGAGUUACGACAUUUAAUUAGUAUGUUAGGCUAUAAAAUAGUGACGUAAAAUAUUGCAUUAAGAGACAUUGUUUCAUUCAUAGUUUUAUAGCACUUAUGAUGAUGUGACAACGUUGGAAAGAGUACCACGAAACUCCCAUUAUAAAUAGCCUUAAUUGACAUCCAACUAAAUAUUAAAAGUCACUUUCAUCUAUUAAUUUCUAAAUCUCGGUUGCCCAUUGAACUGAAGAAAACCGUUAGGGAAAUAUACAUUUUCAGUUUUAAUUUAAUUCAGAAAAUCAGAGUGAUGUAUGUGAUGACAUAUAUGUGCAUAUGUAUCACUACUCACAUAAGAAGUAAACAACAGUAAAAUAUGCACAAAUAUAAAGAACAGAUUGUACACUGCGGAGGGAGCGAUGCUUAAGGCAUCAGUGGCUCCAUUCAAACGAGAUAUCUCGUGUGUAUGUUCGAUAUAGUCGUACGCAGUCGAUGCAAGCAGUAUAGUCCCUCGAACGGCGCUGGUCGAGCGAACGAAGCGAGCAGUCGCGAGUACGCUCCCCAAAAACCUGAUCGCUCGCACACCCAAGCAAGUGUCGCUCUGCGUACGACGAUUUCGGAGGCCUGCUCUCCCACACUCUAUGCUCGCAGAAGGUGGGACGAGAAAUGUUCGGUGUUCGUACGUAUUGUUGUAACCCGAAGCAGUCUCACCUCCUCUGUAUAUAUACACGCGCAGAGGAAGACCAAUGGCUAGUAACGGUUGCCAUCAGAGCUACCGUUACAGCCAGCGAGAAACUGACGCAACACAGUAGUAAUGGACGGUCAUCACUCUAGGCAAAAUGUGCAACUGUUAGGAAGGAAUAUUCAAACCAAUAUCCAAUCUACCACGGCCCAGCCCGGCCAGCGGCGUGCAUGUGGCAGUUCUUCAUUCUUUCUUAGUUUCUCAAUAGAUACACCUAUUUAAGUUGAUUGAAGUGUCCUUUAAACUUCCGAUAUGAUACUAAAAUACUAGUACAUUGUAGCAUUAAAGUAAGCCUUUAGCAUCGGAUAUUAUUGAAUAUUAAUUUAGGCCAGACUCACAUUAAUUAAUUCAUUCAACAGAAACAACAUGUGCCCAGAUAUUGACAAGUCUAAGUUAAAGGACAAAAUAAGGAUCGAUUGGUAAUAUCAUCAGUGCAUGUACUAUCUUCAUAUGUAAAGAUCAAACAUCACCCAUAGUGAAUACUCCCUCCGUUUCUUUUUAGUUGUCGCUGGAUAGUUCAAUUUUACACUAUCCAGCGACAUCUAAAACGAAACGGAGGGAGUAGUACGGGACAACCACAUUCCACAAAUUUUCCUAUUACUUCAUUAGUAAGAAGGGAUUCAGAGCCAUCUGAUCGUUUGACUCGCGAAAGGGGUGGACGAGGAGAAAGCAACCAGCAACUCUCGAGGAUAGCGGUCGCCACCGUAUAGUAGGUAGAAAAUGCCGCCGUCGGUACGCGGGCGACGAGCAACGACCAUGCAUGCGGGCACGUGGCGACGACCGACCUGGUGAGCCAUCGCCAUCGCCGCCGCGCAAGCAACCGGCACGUACAGGCGAGAACCAGACACCACCGCCACGCGGGCGCGCGAGCCAGCACCGAGCGAAGAGGAGGAUGGGGAAGGAGGGACAAAAUGACAUGCGGCGGAACCCAUGUAUAUCAGUGAUAGGGAGAGAGACGAUGGGACGAGAAGGAAACACGUAACCUUUCAACGAAACACGUGACAAUAUGACAUGUUCCAGACCCCCCAAAAAAAAUCUGUUCGAAGCGGCUGCCCCUAGCUUGCUAUCGGGAGGAUGCCGGGGCUAGCAAUGGGUCUAUUUGGUUGAGCUUUUUUAAUCAAUUAUUUUAAAAUUUUAGCUGUAGAGAGAAUUUGGCUAUGCGAAGGAUCUUAAUAUUGUGAGAAUUAUGUACGAAAGAAGGUGAAGUAGUCCAAAUGAUUCAAGAUCUAGAAAGCAAUGGAUUAUCACAAUCGUAAUGACUUGAUCGAUUCUGUGUUUAUAUUGAUUUUGAACGAUUUUUAACAAAACGAUUCUUAUAAAAUCGGGCUACAAAGUUAGUGUAUUUGACACUCUGCAACAGUUUUUGGUGGUCAGAAGCUAAAAAAAAGACAAAACAAAUAGGAUAUGUGGGCAAGCUGCACGAGAAUGGUGCAGGCUUCGUAUCACCAAACACAAAAACAUUAGACGAUUGAAAGUGGAAAAUAAAAACAUUAGACGAUUGAAAGUGGAAAAUACGCGUAAUAGCUAGCCAACUGGGCCUAUAUGUGGCCAAUGCGGCACAGCCCGAGCCCGUCACGGUCCAGGCCGAGGCACAUCACAAAUAAAUAGCGGGUCGUGCCGUGUCCGUUCGUGGGUUGAAACCUAAAUACAUGCAUGGUCUGACUAGUUUUAAAUGUGUCACACUAGACUAUCAUGUCUAACGGUCCACGACUCGUCUUGUAACAAAGUUUGAAAAUAACUUAUUUCCCCCUAUUUUUAUUGGACGCUUUUCUUCAUUUUUUUAACACACCUUGAAAAUAGCAUGAAAGUGAGAAUCAAGUCAGCCAUAGAUCUAUAUAUGGUGGACUAGAUUGGGGCGAGUAAGCUCAGGCCAUGGCUUGAUGGGCUAUCUGUGCCUAGCAUCGGACUAAAUGGGCCGACGGUACAUGUGUCAUGCAUGUGCCGUCUAGGAGACCGUUGGACAUAACGUUAUGUCCGACCCUGAGCCAUCGGAUAUAACCUUAUGUCCGACGGCCGACUAGGAGGCCGUAAGACAUAACAGAGCCGUCGAAACUCUGCCAUUUUACUGUUGUUAUUGAAAAGAUAUAUAAAGUAAUUUUUAUGCAAAUAAUAGAUAAUAAUUUAGAGAGUGAAAUUUAGUUUUUUUAAGAUGCCCUUAUAUAGUACUAUUUUUGUAAAGGUGAAAGAAAAUUAUAUCUUUGUAAUCAAGGUAAUCAUAUGUAUUGUAAAUAAUAUAUUUAUAUAAAACAUAGAAUAACUAGGUAGAUCAAUUAGUUGGAUCUAGAACGUUUUCAUUGUAUUGGUGAAUGGUGGAUACAUAAGCUUCUUUGUGACCUAAAAAAAUAAUAUACAUACUACUAUUUUUGGCUUUAGUAACCUGAUGUACAUAUAGCCACUACCGGAAUCAAUCGCUUUGCCGAGUGCCUGAAGCACUCGGCGAAGCCUUAAAAACACUCGGCAAAGGCUUUGCCGAGUGUGACACUCGGCAAAAAAGGCUCGGCAAACAGUGCAUCGACAAAGCCUUCUUUGCCGAGUGCUUUUUCUCGGGCACUCGGCAAACCUCUUUGCCGAGUGCCAGAGAGCACUCGGCAAAGAAGGCUCGGCAAACAGUGCAUCGACAAAGCCUUCUUUGCCGAGUGCUUUUUCUCGGAAACUCGGCAAACCUCUUUGCCGAGUGCCAGAGAGCACUCGACAAAGAAAAGCGGCCGUUACGGCGCCGGGUGACGGAGACGGCGGCUUUGCCGAGUGUCCCUGGUGACACUCGACAAAGAAGUUAUCUUUGUCGAGUGUCUUCCAGGCCGCACUCGGCAAAGAAUCCAUCUUUGCCGAGUGCCACUUGGGACACUCGGCAAAGAACCCGCCAGGGAGGGUCCCCAUGUCAGGCUCUUUGCCGAGUGUUCUGUGCGGCACUCGGCAAAGCCGACCUCUUUGCCGAGUGCCAGCGACAUAACACUUGGCAAAGAACCUAAGCCGGUGCCCAGGUCUGUGCUCUUUGCCGAGUGUUAUGACCCUGACACUCGGCAAAGCGCCUCUUUGCCGAGUGUUACACUCGGCAAAGCGCCUCUUUGCCGAGUGUUACACUCGGCAAAGUGAGCAGUAUAUACCUUUUUUAUUUGUUUUUUAUAUUCCAUCCACACAAACAGAAGAUAUCACAUAUAUACAUCACAGAUAUCAUCACAGACAUAAAUAGCCAACACAAACAUAAAACUGUCACCACAAACAUAAAUAUCCAUCACAAACAUAAGUGUUCAACACAAGUAUUAAACACAAACAUAAGUCUCAAACGUCGCAAGCUCUCACAUAAGUAUCAAACACAGACAUAAGUAUUAUACAUAAGUUCUGAAGUCUAAAACAAUGAAAACACAACACUCAUGGAGGUGGGCGAUUUGACCGGGGCUGCGUUGGGCUGAACCCUUCCGGAGGGUUGUUGGAUGCCGCCCCAGAUUGGCCCUGCACAGAGAAGAGAUUGCAUGUGUUAUACCAGAUACAUUACAAACAUCUAACUACAGUUUUGAUACUCACAGGAGUGUGGAAGAGAGCAGGGUCAACUGGAGGGAACAAUGGAGGUGGCGGAGCGAUGCCCUGUGCGGCGCCAAGGCUCUGCAUGUACUGGAACAUCUCCGCCAUCCUCUGAUGAUCUGCCCGGCGCUCCGCCUCCCGCUUCGCCAUCAUCCUCGUCUCCAUCUCGUGACGUUCCCUCCUCUCUUCUUCUAGUUGGGUCUAUAAUAUUACAAGCCAACGUUAUAGUAACUCAAAGAGUAGGUAUAUAACUCAAGGAAGGACGAGUUACAGAAGCACUAACCUCGAGUUGCUGUAUGCAAUGCUGUGAGCUGUCGUGCCGAGGUCGUAUGGCUGGACUCGAGCCCGUGCUCUUUGCUCUCACCUGAGACAGAGUGGGAGUGGAGGACGAGUCGAUUGCCCCGUCGGCAAUCCAGUACCGCCCAUGUCUCUUGCCUCCUCCGACCCUCAUGAGCACAUCGGGGUCGAUCGGCUCGGUACUCGGAUCAUAGUCUGGGUCAUGGACCUCCUGCGCUAUGGCGGUGUAGUCAUGGAGGCGACUGUAGACGGCGGGGUUGGUGUAGGCCUCGGGCCCGUCAUCCGGGUUGUAGGUUUGCCGAGAGCCUAACUUUACCGAGUGCGGCUCUCGGCAGAGCCUUCUUUGCCGAGUGCCCGACAAAAGGCACUCGGCAAAGAAUCCAACACUCGGCAAAGCCUCGGAUUCUGGUAGUGAGCAAAAUCUUGCGAUGGCUUCCAUUGGCGCUAGAAAAGGCAAGAAGCUAAGACGGCUGCUGGAGCAACCUGCGCAACAAGACUUCGAGAGACAACCACUGUACCAGGUAACCUAUCCGAAGCAGCAACACAGUUUCCAGGCAAGAAGACGAAGAAAUUUAAAAGCUAAGAGCCCCAGAAAAUGAAAACCCCGAGCCAGAUGCGGACGCACGGGGGGUCCCUAAUCUCGGAGUUCACGACAACAACCAUCGCAGGCAGAGCUCCAGCCGGGCACAAUCAUGGCGCGGCCGACCCUUGGCCUCACGCGACCGGCCGGAGAUGAGGUGUUCGUGGCCCUGGCCAUGGUGGGCACAAUCAUAGCCUAAGGCCCUGUUCGUUUAUAUCGGAUUACACCCGGAAUCGUUCCGUCUAAACAAAGUUUAUAUAAAUUAGAGAAGCAAUCCGGUUAGAAAUCGUUCCGAUCCACCAAUCUGGUGGAAACGAACAAGCCCUAAGUGACAAACGAAACCGAACCUUAGACAUGUACUUUGAUGUAGAACAGACGAAGAAAUUUUUUAACCACAUCCUGAAAUUAGCUCUUACGGGCAGUCAAAUUCUAGGGGUGGGCGUUCGGGUUACCCGAAAAUUUCGGGUCGGGUAAUUCGGGUUUUUAAAAUUUCGAGUUUUGAGAAUCGAUACCCGAAAUUACAACGGGUUUUGCAAUACCCGAAAUUUCGGGUUCGGGUUCGGGUAUUCCCGAACUACCCGAACUAUUGUGUCACCUUCAUAAAAACACAUACACCCUAUUAAAUUAGUAUAAAAAUAUAGUUUGAAUAAUGAUACACAUGGACAUAUAAAACACAAGCAAUCUACAAUCACAAGUUAUGCAUACAUACACAUAAUUAUAAAUGUACAAAUUAAUAAUUAAGCAUGACAUGAGUACAUGACACAUUAAAGUUCGGGUAAUUCGGGUACCCGAUUGUGAUACCCGAAUUACCCGAACUAAAUUCGGGUUUUGCAAGUUGCUACCCGAAAUUCCCGAACAAAAUUCGGGUUUCGGGUAUUUCGGGUUCGGGUUCGGAUAUUCCGGGUUCGAGUUUCGGGUUACGGGUUUUUUUGCCCAGUCCUAAGUGUGCCCGUCGAGACAACUGUUGUCUCCUUCCCCAACCUGCAGAAUCGUGCCCACCACCGCCACCUCUCGCGCGAGGCCCGGGUCUGCGGCCACCGGCACAGCCAGCAUCCUUCCCUGCCUGCUCGCUAUGCAUCAUGUCCGCGUUCAGCGAGACAACCGUCGUCCUCCCUUGCUGAGUUAAGUCUCC
rnacentral:lncRNA from 1 species